GAUGAACGCUGGCGGUGUGCCUAAUACAUGCAAGUCGAACGGGCUCUUCGGAGCUAGUGGCGGACGGGUGAGUAACACGUUGGGUACCUACCCCUAAGUGGGGAAUAACUGCCCGAAAGGGUGGCUAAUACCGCAUAAUCCCGGACAAGGGUAAAGCAGUAAUGCGCUUAGGGGAGGGGCCUGCGUCUGAUUAGUUAGUUGGUAGUGUAAUGGACUACCAAGGCGACGAUCAGUAGCUGGACGAGAGGUUGACCAGCCCACACUGGGACUGAGAUAC
rnacentral:rRNA from 1 species